GAUGAACGCUGGCGGCGUGCCUAACACAUGCAAGUCGAACGGAGAUUACGGACGGAAGUUUUCGGAUGGAAGACUGUAAUUCUUAGUGGCGGACGGGUGAGUAACGCGUGGGCAACCUGCCCUAUACAGGGGGAUAGCAGCUGGAAACGGCUGGUAAGACCGCAUAAGUCGGCGAGACCGCAUGGUUUUGCCGGGAAAUGAGCAAUCAGGUAUAGGAUGGGCCCGCGUCCGAUUAGCCAGUUGGCAGGGUAAAAGCCUACCAAAGCAACGAUCGGUAGCCGGACUGAGAGGUCGGACGGCCACAUUGGGACUGAGACACGGCCCAAACUCCUACGGGGAGCAGCAGUGGGGGAUAUUGCACAAUGGAGGAAACUCUGAUGCAGCGACGCCGCGUGAGUGAAGAAGUAUUUCGGUAUGUAAAGCUCUAUCAGCAGGGAAGAUGAUGACGGUACCUGACUAAGAAGCCCCGGCUAACUACGUG
rnacentral:rRNA from 1 species